rnacentral:rRNA from 1 species
AGUGAACGCUGGCGGUAGGCCUAACACAUGCAAGUCGAACGGCAGCACAGGAGAGCUUGCUCUCUGGGUGGCGAGUGGCGGACGGGUGAGGAAUACAUCGGAAUCUACUUUUUCGUGGGGGAUAACGUAGGGAACCUUACGCUAAUACCGCAUACGACCUACGGGUGAAAGCAGGGGACCUUCGGGCCUGUCGCGAUUGAAUGAGCCGAUUUAGGAUUAGCUAGUUGGCGGGGUAAAGGCCCACCAAGGCGACGAUCCGUAGCUGGUCUGAGAGGAUGAUCAGCCACACUGGAACUGAGACACGGUCCAGACUCCUACGGGAGGCAGCAGUGGGGAAUAUUGGACAAUGGGCGCAAGCCUGAUCCAGCCAUACCGCGUGGGUGAAGAAGGCCUUCGGGUUGUAAAGCCCUUUUGUUGGGAAAGAAAUCCAGCUGGCUAAUACCCGGUUGGGAUGACGGUACCCAAAGAAUAAGCACCGGCUAACUUCGUGCCAGCCGCCGCCGUAA